rnacentral:ncRNA from 1 species
AGACAGCGCUAUCGCGCUUCCUCAGCCCAAACGGCCGACUGGAUAAACACUCUUCUUAUCCUUACUCACA